rnacentral:rRNA from 1 species
UCGGGAAUUUUGGGCAAUGGGCGCAAGCCUGAUCCAGCCAUGCCGCGUGCGGGAAGAAGGCCUUCGGGUUGUAAACCGCUUUUGUCAGGGAAGAAACGGUUCGUACUAAUACUGUGAACUAAUGACGGUACCUGAAGAAUAAGCACCGGCUAACUACGUGCCAGCAGCCGCGGUAAUACGUAGGGUGCAAGCGUUAAUCGGAAUUACUGGGCGUAAAGCGUGCGCAGGCGGCUAUGCAAGACAGAUGUGAAAUCCCCGGGCUCAACCUGGGAACUGCAUUUGUGACUGCAUAGCUGGAGUGCGGCAGAGGGGGAUGGAAUUCCGCGUGUAGCAGUGAAAUGCGUAGAUAUGCGGAGGAACACCGAUGGCGAAGGCAAUCCCCUGGGCCUGCACUGACGCUCAUGCACGAAAGCGUGGGGAGCAAACAGGAUUAGAUACCCCCGUAGUCCCUGAGCGGGCUGGCAAGGCGCAU